ensembl:lncRNA
AUGGCACUUUCAAGCUUGUCCCCUGGCUGUAGGUCAGCCCUCCUGCCCACCCCCUGUGGCCCACAGGCAUACAGGCUGUACAACUCCUCCCUGCCACAGGAUAGCUGUCCAGACCUCCAGCUGCCUUUUGCCAUGAAAAGGAGGGAUGUCCCCAGGAUUGAGCUGGCCAGUGAGGACGAAGUCUCCAUCUCCUGUUACGUGCCCACCGGCCUCUUCAGCCUGACUUUGUGCCUCUGGCACCAUGGCAUAUCCACAGGUCUUCUGGACACCAUGGAUAAUGAAGCAGGCACUGAUCUGAUGUUGCCGGAUGGCUCUGUGGCCCACAGCCUGGAGGAGCUCAGCCUGGCCUGGCAGGUGAGCAGGUGCACCUGUCCUUCUUCCCUCUGGCUGAGUCUCUUGAGGGCUGCUCACUGCAGAGUCCCAGGAGAAGCAGGUGGCCUGCUGGCUCUGCAGAGAUCUUUGCAGACCCAGGUUUGGGGGGAGUCUCCUGCUGAGGCCGAUGUACGUGGGGGAGCAACAUGGUCCAGCAGGAGGCCUGAGCCUUGCAUCUGUCCCACCAGGUGGAUGGUGACUGCAGGGCCACCGAGAAGACUCAGCCAACCUGCCCAGGACAGAGCCCCGCCUGUCGGGACUUCUUCCAGGAUCCCCCUCUAGCUUGGGGAACUGCAUCUGGGUGGUGGAGCCUGCACCAUCCUUAGCUUGUGUGUGAAGAACCCCGGUGGCACCCAGGAUCUCCAGCCUGCCUGCACUCUGGCAGCCACCUACAUCCACCUCUGUGCCUGCAGCUGCGUGUCCCUGGCCCUCUUCCACAGUGCGAUAAGCUGCCCCAGCUGGCUGGCACUCUGCCCCCUGGCUGGCAUCUGCCUUCCAGACGGAGGGAAAACCUGUCUCUCUCUUGUCAGGGAGAACAAAUAAUUGUCAUUCAAGGAGCUAAGAGUCAAAACAAAUUAUUUAAGGCCUGAUACGGCUUGGAUGUGUGUCCCCUCCAAAUCUCACGUUUGUUAGAGGGUGUACAUCCCUCAUGGAUGGCUUAGCAUCCUGCGUUUGGUGAAGCGUGAGUUCUUGCUCUAUUAGUUCACCUGAGAGCAGUUUGUUUAUUAAGAGCCUGGCCCUUUCUCUCUUUGCACCCACUCUAAUUUCUGCCAUGAUCAUAAGCUUCCCGAGGCCUUACCAGAAGCCAAGCAGAUGCUGGAGCUGUGCUUGUACAGCCUGUAGACCUGUGAGUCAGUUAUCUCUUUUAUUUAUGAUGUACCCAGGCUGGAGUGUAGUGGCACAGUCUCACCUCACUGCAAGUUCCACCUCUCAGGUUCAAGCAAUAAUUCUGCCUCAGCCUCCCCAAAAUACAGGCAGAUAUUUUUGUAGAGAUAGUGUUUUUUUAUGUUGGCCAGGCUGGUCAUGAAUUUCUGAACUCUGAUGAUCCACCUGCCUCAGUUUCCCAAAGUGCCAAAUGACAGGCGUGAGCCACCUCUCCCAGCCUCACUGGGGAUUUGAAUGUCCACUAUCAUUUAGGGAAAAUGCUCAGUCCCUCUUUUCCCUCUGCUCUCAUACUGCAAAAAUUAUCAUCAACACAGAAGAUGACUUCUGUGAGCAAAUGUGUGGGGGUUUGUCUCCACUACCAGGGCGGACCUCUAAUUCAGUUCUAACACUAGCUACCUUGAGAUUCUUCAGCCAGUGCUGCAUACAAUUGCCACAGCCAAAGCCCCACUAAAAGGGCAUAGAGGUCAGUAUCAACAAGAGGAGUGGACGUCCAAGAGCUACAGAUGCCAGAAUUAGUGGCUGCCAUUCAUAGACAUUGAAAACUUAAUCAAUUCGAAAAUAUGACAAAGGGAGGAUGAAAUGAGAUGAACCAACGUGUCUCAAAAAAAUUCCCGGUCGGGUGUGGUGACUCAUCCUUGUAAUCCCAGCACUUGGGAGGCCAAGAUGAAUGGAUCACCUAAGGUCAGAAGUUUGAGCCCAUCCUGGCCAACAUGGUGAAACCGAACCCCUUCUCUACUAAAAAUACAAAAAUUAGCUGGGCAUGGUGGCACACACUUGUAGUCUCAGCUACUUGGGAGUCUGAGGCAGGAGAAUUGCCUGAACCCAAAAGGCAGAGGUUGCAGUGAGCUGAGAUGGCUCCACUGCACUCCAGCCUGGCGCCACUCUGUCUCAAAAAAAAAAAAAAAAGUAUUUGUUGCCCUUUGAAGGGAAAUAGAUCAUAAUGACCACAGGGUCUGCAUAUGUAGAGAGCAUUGAAUGUCAUACAUUUAGGCUCUCAUCAGCAGAUUUGUAUGCACAUCCAGAGACAGUGAUAUUUGUUCCGAGAUCUGCUUAUACCAGUUAUGCUUUUGAUAAUAAUUAUGUAAAUUUUAAAAUUAGCACAUAAUCCAUGAAUUAUGAGAAUAAAAAAAGAAAUGUUUCUAAUAGAACUGAAUGCAUUAGGAAGACUGAAUGAAUACAAGACUUUUAAAAAAUAUUUAUUUGGUGUGGAAGACCAUUCUGAAAGUUCGGAGACAAAAAUAUGAAAAACAAAAAACACUCUUCCAAAUUCAGGUUAUUUUAACUCAUUUAGUUAGUUAUUUAUCUUUAAAAAAUGGAGACUGGAAAUUACAGAAUUUAGUUGCAUAAUAGAGAAUCCUAAGCCACUACUAAAAGAUGAUGGGGAACGAAAAUCUGCUUAAUCUAAGUAAUGGCUGUGGCUAUGCAUCCCAGAAUUGUAAUAACUUUCUAUAUAUAAAAUUAAAAUAAAAUUUUGAAGGUGUAUGUAUGUGUUUAUCCUUAAUUCUUCACUUCAGCCUGAUUUUUCUAUUAAUUCAUUACCUAUAUAUGCUUAACACACAGUUUCCACCGUAACAUAAACAUGCAUACAGUUUGAUAAUGAAAUACCACAUUUAUGGGGUUUUUCUCAUCACCAUACCACAGGAGAAUAAUAGUACACCAUACCAUCACCAUACCACCUCAUACCACAGGAGAGUAAUAGUACAGGUCUUAUUCUGCAAAAGAGAGGGAAAAAGUCCUAUCAGAGAGAUAAUAUGAUGUGCAGAAAUAGGAUGUGCAUGUUGCUCUUAGGUAGCUAUGGAUUGUGAAAUGUGGUUAGAAUAAAUAUGUGAAAGGCUACAGGAGAAGAAAUUCUAUGAGCGAAUAAAAGCUUUAUUAUAUAGAAUUUGAUUGUUGGCAAAGAGAUUUUUUGUAAAGAAAAUAAGCAACUAAUUAUUUUUUGAGUAUGUGGCUAAAAGGAAGAUGGAUUGGAGAAAAAGCUGUAAAGCUGUAUUAUGUACAAAUCAUUGAUUGGGAAGUUGGAAUGACAGUGGAAAUUAAAAUGUAGUGGAACAUAGAUAUCUAAGUGAAGCAGAUCAGUUAGGAGGAUAUUUCAGUGAAUGGUCAGCAUGAGGUGAGGAUGGUGGUAGGAGUAGCAAUGCUGCUGAGAAACCAAGAAAAAGGAAGACCGAGUAGUACCCAUUGGCCUUACUGUAGCUACAGGAAACCAAGAACGGGUACUCAUUGACUGAGUAGAGAUGAUUGCAGGGAAUGGAUAGAAACAGAGAGCUACGUUUAGAGAAGGAAAAAAAGUCAAGCUUUGCUGAAUUGCUGGAUGUUGAAACUUUGAGGACAAAAAAAAUUGUCAAAUAUUUGUGAUUAGAGAAUCAGGAUGCCAUGGAAGAUCAAGACAGGUUUGGCAAGAAAGCCAAAGCGGUAGGAAAACUGAUGUUGGGCUUGGAUGCUGAGACGUCAAAUAACAUGAGGACUGAAAAUCACGCUUUGCUUUGGUAAUGUGAAAAUAUGGAUUAAAGAAUGAAUGCAAUCAGAGAAAAUGGAAAAAGCAAGUGUCAACAACUCACUUUAAACGUUUGGCUAUAAAGAAAAUAGAGAGAUACACCAGUAAGUGGGGAGGAAUGUGGGGUCCAGGAAGAAUUUUACAUCAUAUCAGAGCAUGUCAGAGGAUUAUAGAAAAACUCAAGAACAAGAAAGUAAGGUACAAACAAGAAAGAAUUACAGAUGAAUGAAGACUCUGAGAGUUGAUGGAAUGGAACUCAGAGCUCAUGUAAAAGGACUGGCCUUCUAAGGAAAAAGGGAUAUUUUCUGCAUUAUUAGGAGGAUAGAAGGAAGGAACAUGGAUGUAGGUUUGUUGAUGUGUCAGCGAAAAAUGAGGGGAAUGCCAUAUGAA